rnacentral:rRNA from 1 species
UACGAGGGGGGCGAGCGUUGUUCGGAAUUAUUGGGCGUAAAGGGUGCGUAGGCGGUUCCGCAAGUCCUGUGUGAAAUCUUCGGGCUCAACUCGAAGUCUGCACGGGAAACUGCGGGGCUUGAGUGUGGGAGAGGUGAGUGGAAUUCCUGGUGUAGCGGUGAAAUUCGUAGAUAUUGGGAAGAACACCGGUGGCGAAGGCGCUCACUGGCUCGUUCCUGACGCUCAGGCGCGAUAGCGUGGGGAUCAAACAGG